rnacentral:lncRNA from 1 species
CAAAAUAACAAAGUAUGGCAAAAGUUUCAAUCUCCUAUAGCCUCCUCCUCCUUUUUAUCACAUACCUAUGUGUAUUCAACUUAGCAAUUGCCCAAGAUCAACCCCAAUUAGUGAAAGAUCAAUUGUUGGGUACAUUACUGUGCUCAGAAUUAAAUGUUGGUGAAUGCAAGGUGGACAAUGAUUGUAAACCUAGAUGUAUUGAAAAAUAUAAAGAUGAUCUACAAACUGCAUCGUGUUAUCAUGACCCAAUUGCGGAUAAAAAGUUUUGUUCUUGUGAAUAUUGUCGAAACAAAGACAUAUGGAACAAAGGCUGUAAAUGCCAUUAGUACUACUAUUUCUCUUUAAGUUUUAUUUAUAUGUAAUCUGACCUAAAGUUCAAUGGUCAAGAAAAAAAAAAAGAUGACAACAUAAUUUAAUGAUGUUUUCUUA